rnacentral:rRNA from 1 species
AUUGAACGCUGGCGGCAGGCCUAACACAUGCAAGUCGAGCGAGCGGCGGGCGGGUGAGGACUGGAUGGGGACCUGCCCGAGAGAGGUGGAUAACGACUGGAAACGGUAGCUAAUACCGCGUACAAUCGGAUCAACCUAUAUGUGAUUAGCUAGUAGGGGAGGUAAUGGCUCACCUAGGCGACGAUCCCUAGCUGGUCUGAGAGGAUGAUCAGCCACACUGGGACUGAGACACGGCCCAGACUCCUACGGGAGGCAGCAGUGGGGAAUAUUGGACAAUGGGCGCAAGCCUGAUGCAGCCAUGCCGCGUGUAUGAAGAAGGUCCUCGGGUUGUAAAGCACUUUCAGUCGGGAGGCGUUACCGACAGAAGAAGCACCGGCUAACUCCGUGCCAGCAGCCGCGGUAAUUC